rnacentral:miRNA from 1 species
ACAUGUGGACUGUCAUAUGGGUU